GGAAGUAAAAGUCGUAACAAGGUUUCCGUAGGUGAACCUGCGGAAGGAUCAUUACUGAUUUAGCGAACCGAGCGUUAGCGAGGUUUUGCGAUCACUUAUAUUUAAAACCCCACUCUUUAAUGUAUAAAAUUUGUAUUAAUGAUAAAUUAAAAGAUCACUUUCAACAACGGAUCUCUUGGCUCUCGCAUCGAUGAAGAACGUAGCGAAGUGCGAUAAGUAAUGUGAAUUGCAGUAUUCCGUGAAUCAUCGAAUCUUUGAACGCAUAUUGCACUUUCUGGUAUUCCGGAAAGUAUGCCUGUUUGAGGGUCAGUUAAAUAAAAUCGGUGUUGUUGCUGCCUUUCGUGGUGACGCGUCGGAAUUGAGUCGUCUUACCUUCGGUUAAGUGACUUAAAAUUUUGCACGAUUUUCGAACGUAUUUAAAUCACUUUACGUAUGUUUGAGAUAUCGAAUGUUUAUUAGGUUCGGUCAUCCUCAUGAUUCGCGCCUAUAAUUUUUCAUUAAAUGACCUCAAAUCAGGUAAGAAUACCCGCUGAACUUAAGCAUAUCAAUAAGCGGAGGA
rnacentral:rRNA from 1 species